CUUUAUCUACAGAUUUGUGAUGAGUUGGAAAUCAAGAAUCCAGUCAGCGUCAAACUGUUCACUGGGAAGAGUGAGAGAAGUUCAUCUGGUCUGUUGGAGUGGGAGUCGGUAAAUGAUGCUAUGGAGGCUCUUGCUUUGAUCAACCACUACCAGAUGAAGAACCCUAGCGGGCCUUACCCAUACACUCUUAAACUGUGUUUUUCAUCUGCACAGCACGCCAACUGAACCCACAAUAACAACUAUAACCUUUGACUCCCAGUGACCUUUUGAGCUCAGCUCCAUAGUAUGUCUUAUCUCAUGACCUGGAGGGAAAGAAUGGGACUGUUAAGAUUACCUUUAUUUCCAGAAUAUGAUUGGACUCAAUGUUUUGUAUUAUGGUUUCAUUUUUAAUUAAUUUUUUUUUUUUAAAUAUAGCUAUUUUUUU